rnacentral:miRNA from 1 species
AAACACUGACAGUCUUGACAGA